UCUCUCUCCCAGUGCCUCCGGUAACUGGCUCCGGCCUCCGCCGUGAUCCUCUUCCUGGUUGCUGGUGGUCUGCGAGUCUUACUGAACUCACCAGCCGCAGCGAAGUCCAGACUAGGCCGGCGAUAGGCUGAGCAGCAGUGUAACCUUUUUCGGCCCCGGCAGCAGGUGCCGGUGUAGUGAAGAAUUGUGUGUCUUGAAACGUUCUCACACUGCUGCCCAGCCUAUCGCCGGUCAAAUCGGGACUUCGCUGCGGCCGGUGAUUGGCUGAGUGCAGUAUGACUCGCCGACCACCAGCAACCAGGAAGAGGAUCGUGGCGGAGACCGGAGCCGGUUACCGAAGGCACUGGGAGAGUGAAGGAAGAUGUAGAGGAUGCCUCCUUGUCAUGGUUACCGGCCUUGUUUAUGGAAAUUAUGACACACUUCCGGAUCACGGGGGUCACCAUUGGAAUACUUAGUGCCAUUUCUGCAAUCUCUGUGAAACGGUGCGGUAGACUUUAAGAGAAUAACUUGCUGACAGUAGCUACAAUACUUACUCUGAAUGUGAGGAUGAAGCAGCAUCAUCAAGAGAGACCAACGUAAAGUGUUAGAUGUCGUAUCCG